GCAAAUGGGGUGCUAAAUUUAGCUGAGAUUAUACCCAAUAACCUGAACUAGGUAAUGCUAGCGGAGGGAUUUUUCUCA
rnacentral:ncRNA from 1 species